rnacentral:lncRNA from 1 species
GUCUCUCUUCACACUGUGUGCCAGGCUAAAGAAGAGCGUGAAAAAGGAUCAGCGUAGGAGAAUGAGACCUAAGAUUCUUUACUGGGAUUUUGCAAAAGGCCAAAUUUGAUAAAAAAUAGUUCUUUCAAUCUGCAGUCUGAACCAAUUAGUCAGCUGUGAAAUCAGUUUAGUGAGUACUGGACCGCAGGUUUCAUUUUAAAAGUAGAAAAGAAAGCGCUCAAUUCUGUUGCUUGUAAUAGGGGAGGUAUUCAUUUUUGUGCACUGAGUUUCUAUGUAAUAUUUCUUUCUUUCUGUAUCUUCUAGUAUAAAAACUGUGAGAAACUUUCUUCCCAACACAGAGAACAUGUUUCUAACCCAUCCGUCUAUCUUUUUCUUCUUCUGUUUUCUCCAGGCUGCACAAAGAGUUCUGUUGAGAGAGGAGUGCUACUUUCAUCCCUGGCCGAUGCUCAGCUCUCCUAUGAAGCAGUCACAUGCAUGGGACACUUCCAUAGUGGCGAAUGAGACCUUACGUAGUCCUUCCAAUUCCUGGCUGCAUCUUAGUGGAGCUUUUGAAAAUACAGAUACCCAAUCCCCACACCGGAACAUUUAAAUCAGAAUUUCAAGAAGCAGCUUGUUCCGGCACAGGGAAGCAGAGAUUGAUCCCUGUUUCCUACCCCACAUCACUGGUGUCAGAGAGAUGGCUCUGCUUCUCUGCACCGAUGGAGCUGUUUCUCCACGCUGAGACUGGAGGAGCAGAAUCCUUGUUACGCGGAAAUUCUGAGAGGAGCCCUGAUGUGGAUUGUACUCUUUGGUUCCUGAUUCUUGACUCAGAUGUGGGUCCAUGAGGUUAUUUGGUGUCCCGUGUAUUGUUUUAAGAGGCUCCAGCUUCCUUAUGGGAAUAUCACAUUCCUCCUAUUUAACCUGAACCUGAAAGUCAUCACAGCCAAUAAAUAAACAAUAACUGGCUGAUUCUCUUCUGGC